AGAGUUUGAUCCUGGCUACAGAACGAACGCUGGCGGCAUGCCUAACACAUGCAAGUCGAACGAAGCCUUCGGGCUUAGUGGCGCACGGGUGCGUAACGCGUGGGAAUCUGCCCUUGGGUUCGGAAUAACAGUUAGAAAUGACUGCUAAUACCGAAUGAUGUCUUCGGACCAAAGAUUUAUCGCCCAAGGAUGAGCCCGCGUCGGAUUAGCUAGUUGGUGAGGUAAAGGCUCACCAAGGCGACGAUCCGUAGCUGGUCUGAGAGGAUGAUCAGCCACACUGGGACUGAGACACGGCCCAGACUCCUACGGGAGGCAGCAGUGGGGAAUAUUGGACAAUGGGCGAAAGCCUGAUCCAGCAAUGCCGCGUGAGUGAUGAAGGCCUUAGGGUUGUAAAGCUCUUUUACCCGGGAUGAUAAUGACAGUACCGGGAGAAUAAGCCCCGGCUAACUCCGUG
rnacentral:rRNA from 1 species